GGGUAAUUUUAGGUUUAUUGUAUAUAGAUUUGCAUUGGGCAAGAACGGAAUGUUAGAAAUCUGUAAUACUGUAUGCUGAUGGUAAACUUACUCAAAGGAUCUCAUUUGGGCAUCUGGAAGGUGAUAGUUCUGUUUCUUUGUUAUAUACACAGCAUGUUACAGAGAUGUGAUUUUUCUCCCCAUUAAACAGAACUAAAAGACAGUAUAUUUAUUUAAAGGCAAAGCUUUUUCCCCUUUUAUGUCUCCUCAUAAACUCCAGAGACAGUCUGGAAGGCCCUCUUAAAUUUGUCAAAGAGCAGUAACGUGUCUCAUGCUCAGUUUUUCUAGCAGAUCGUAAUAGUCUCAGUUGACCCUGCUGGGAUUUGAACCUGCAGUUUCUAUUAAGUUUGGUGUGUGAAGUCCAACACUUUAUCAACUAGGCUUUCCCUCUGACAUCUUGAAGCCUCCGUGUAUAUCCUUUGAACUCUGCAGCAAAGUGCGUCAGUUGUUAGUUUACUCUGAGCAUGGUAUUCUUAGAUUGAAAAGAAGUCUCUGAAGAUGUCAAAUAAAAUGUAAACAUUUUCCCCAGCAGUGUGAAGUCUAGUGAGUUAAUGUUUGGCACAAGCAGGUAAUUUACAUCCAUUCUAUAGGGUAGUAGAAAUGUGAUCUGGGCAAGUCACGGUGGCUCAUGCUUCUAAUCUCAGCACUUUGGGAGGCUGAGGUAGGAGGAUGGCUUGAGCUCAGGGGUUUGAUACUAGCCUGGGCAACAUAGCGAGACCUUGUCUCUACUAAAAAUUAAAAAAAUUAGCUGGAUGUGGUGGCCCACCCCUGCAGUCUCAGCUGUUUGGGAGGCUGAAGCAAGAGGCUAGCUUGAGCAUGGAGAUGAAGGCUGCAGUGAGCUGUGAUCGCUCCGCUGCAUUCCAGCCUGAGUGACAGAGUGAGACACUGUCUCAAAAAAAAAAAAAAAAAAAGAAAAAGAAAGAAAUGUGAUCUCAUUCAGUUCCAUGGAUGAAGAUCUAAAAACUGCUGGAUAUUAAAAAACAUCUGUCUGCUUUUCCCAAGUCAGUGGCUGGUUAGCAGAAGCAGUGUUUCUUCAACUAGUUCAGAUAAGACAAAAUCCUGAGUAGUUCAUCCUGUUCCACAGCCGUCCUCUGCACUUCUAUACUGACUGUCUGCCUAGGUUACAAGGGGACCUCUGGAUGAGUAGAUCCAAGUCUGGUUUAUGUUGUUCUAUUCUCCUAAAAAUAUUUUUAAAUGUUCCUAGAAAGUCUACCAUUGAUAAUUUAGUAGCACCUGUCAUCACCCGUGAGCAACCCCUUGUUAGGAUAGUGUGAUGCCACAGUGCAUUAUAGGUUGACAGCAGCCUUCCACAAGCUGGACCAGCUAGCUGUCUGCCAGUCAUCGCCUAAAUAGAAAUUGUUCUCCGAGAAACUACUAAUACUUUUUAGGACUUUAAAAAGCAUUAGAUCUGUUUUGAUCUAGAUAGACCCACUCAAUGCCUCUGGAUUGUAUAACUACAGCAUAUAAUGUUGAUACAGAAUGCAGUCUAAACGGUGCUUCAUAGAGUUCGUUCGGCAUCAUGGUAGCACUACACUCAAAUGAGUGUGACCAAGCCAUUGUAGAAUCAGUAGAAAGUAACCUUUUGACAGAUUUUUAGGCCCGAACCUCUUCUUCACUGGCACCUAUUUUGGGGAAAUGUUGAUUGGUGUGGGGCCUCAGAAGUUCCACAGUCCUCCUGAAAAUCUCUCCCAGUGCUGCUGUUUCACAGUUUAAGCCUGAGCAGUAGGUAAUUUGGGAUGUGUGUUGUAUACCCUGGGCUGAUUUAGAACUUUAAUGCUUUAAGAUUCUGACUUCUUAGAACAAGCACUAGGUUUCCUUUUAAGAGAACACUGUACAUCUACCAUUAAAAGAAAAAGCCUCCAUUCAUUGGCCAGUGGGUUCGCCCUGCGAGGCUCAUUUAACACAUGGUUUUGACUCCCGGCUCAGUCAAGUGUACUGAACACUCAAGAGAUCUAAGUGGUACUCCACUGAGACUGUCUUGUACAUGUCCAGUGAUUGAAUAGCUCAAGUCAGCAUUUCACAAGGGACUAACUCCUGCCUGUACACUCAUUUUAGCUUUCAUAAACACUUGAAGGAAACUAGUGUCUGCAGGAAAUCCACGGGCUGCUCCUGUAGCUUUACAUUGUUGGGACCCAGUAGAGUACCUGGCGGAGUGAGUCUUCCUUAAAGGGUUUUGGUGAUGUCACUGAGUGUGUGUGCGCCACCACAUGUUAAUGGAAGUGCUGAACUUUAUACUGGGUAUUGGAAAGUAGAUAGUAAAUAAACUAUAUAUUCCACUGUAUGUCUCUAAGGCUUUUCUUAUUUGCAGGUGAGAACAUUUAUAAUGUGAUAAUUUAUCAUAUAAUUAUUUUGGGGUAGAGACAGGGUCUCACUAUGUUGCCCAGGCUGGUCUCGAACUCCUGGCCUCAAGCAAUCCUCCCACCUCAGCCUUUCAAAGUGCUGGGAUGGGUGUGAGGCACCGUGCCCCCAUGCCUGGCUGUCUUUAUUUUAAAAUCUGAUAGCCCAUGUGUAUUACCAAACUUCGGUUUCUUCUGAAGUACCAGUUAUUUCAUAAAUAGAAAUUUACUUAGACCACAGUUCUCAAACUUGUGGCCUGUGAGCUAUAGAAGACUUACUGUGGGCCUGCAGGCAUGCUUUGUUUGACCCACCCAGCACCAACACUUUAAAACUAGAGUGAUUUUUGGCUGGGCACGGUGGCUCACACCCGUAAUCCCAGCACUUUGGGAGGCCGAGGUGGGCGGAUCACUUGAACUCAGGAGUUCAAGACCAACCUGGUCAACGUGGCGAAACCCCAUCUCUGCUAAAAAUACAAAAAUUAGCUGGACGUGGUGGCAGGUGCCUGUAAUCCCAGCUACUCAGGAAGCUGAGGUGGGAGAAUAGCUUGAACCUGGGAGGCAGAGGUUGCAGUGAGCCGAGAUCGUGCCAUUGCAUUCAAGCCUGAGUGAAAAGAGCAAAACUUUGUCUCAAAAAACGAAGCUAGAGUGAUUUUGCAUUAAAAAAAAAGAGCAAGAUUUCGGGCUGGGCAUGGUGGCUAACGCCUGUAAUCCCAGCACUUUGGGAGGCUGAGGCAGGUGGAUCACUUGAGGUCAGGAGUUUGAGACCAGCCUGGCCAACAUGGCAAAACCCGUCUCUACUAAAAAUACAAAAAUUAGCUGGGCGUGGUGGCACAUGCCUGUAAUCCCAGCUACUCUGGAGGCUGAGGCAGGAGAAUUGCUUAAACCCAGGAGGUGGAGGUUGCAGUGAGCCAGGAUGGUGCCACUGCACUCCAGCCUGGGCAACAGAGCAAGCCUCCAUCUCAAAAAAAAAAAAGUUUUGGUCAGGCACUGUGGCUCAUGCCUGUAAUCCCAGCACUUUGGGAGGCCGAGGCAGGGAGAUCACUUGAGGUCAGGAUGAGACCAACCUGGCCAACAUGGUGAAACCCUGCCUCCACUUAAAAUACAAAAAUGAGUCAGGCAUGGUGGCACGCACCUGUAAUCCCAGCUACUCGAGAGGCUGAACCACGAUAAUUGCUUGAACCUGGGAGACAGAGGUUGCAGUGAGUGGAGAUUGCAUCAUUGCACUCCAGCCUGGGCGACAGAGUGAGACUCUGUCUCAAAAGAAAAAAGAAAGAUUUCUAGUUUCCCUAGAAAAGAUCUGGCCACACUGCUCCCACAGCCUGCGCAGUGAUAAUCAGCAGGAGCUGAGUAGCUGCUGCGUUUUUGACAUGAGGCAUUCACACUCUCCGGGUUGUCUUCAUUCCCGCCAUCUUGCUAUUGUUUUAUACUGUUCUUUGGGAUGCCUAAUUGACAGUUUUUUACUUAUCUUUUUGUAAAUUGUGAGUCAGUCGUUUCUGGUUUUUAUUUGAAAUUUCUAAUGGAAAGCUCUGGAUUGAGAGUUAGGAGGUCUGAGUCGCCUGUAAGCCGAUGCAUGACCUUGGGCUGGGUUGGGCUUUCCUAGCAUUUGAUCUAUGGGCUGUUUAAAGAUCUUGCGUGAAAAAGAGAUCAUGGGCAGUUAAGUUUGGGGAAUGCAGGAUUAAAUAAAGGUGAAUUGGCUUCUUUACUGUAGGACUUCUCAGAACCUUUAACAUGCUUUGUGCAUUAACUCCUACAGGGUUUAGGGUGUGUUUUGUAAAUGUCCUGAAGUUAGAUCACUUCGUGCCCUCUUUCCAUGGAACCAAAUCACAUUCUGUGCAUCAAACAUCAGGAAAUGUGGAGCUAGAUAAUUUCAGCAGUCCCUUCAAACCCUUAGACAUUCAGAGUGUCCAUCUAACCGGAUCUGGAAAAAGCUCACCAUGUUAUUUUGGUUCUUGUGCUUUCUUAUGUUAUAUCUGCUGUCUAUUCAUACUCCCUUCUCUCUCAUUCUUUUCUGUGUAGUCUUUAUUCUGAUAACUUUAUCUUAGAAUCAUCCCAAUUGAAAAUGUUCUGCGUUUGGAGUUUUAUUCUAAAGAUUUUGUUUGUUGGUUUUGGGUUUUCUUGAGACAAGGUCUUGCUAUGUUGUCCAGGCUGGAAUGCAGUAGCACGAUCACAGCUCAGUGCAGCCUGGAUCUCCUGGGCUCAAGGGAUCCUCGCACCUCAGCCUCCCAAGUAGCUGGCAUGCACUGCCACUCCCAGCCUACAUUUUUAUUCUAAUACCAGAUGGUUACAAAUCACUUGCAAGACUGAGUAGUGUGAUUGGAAGUAGUGAUUUGAUUUAGAUUACUUACCAUUAAUUGAAGAUCUGCUGAGUCCAAGGCCCCUUGCUGGAUGCUGGGCCAGUGCAAAGAUAAGUAAGACAAGUUUGUAAGUGGUUUUAUCUUAUUGCGGAAUUCAGUCUUUACAACCACCAGGUAAGAUAGGACCAGGGCUAUUAAUUCUCUCUCUCUCUUUUUUUUAUAAAUUGAGACAGGGUCUCUCUGUGUCACCCAGGCUGGAGAGCAGUGGCGCAGUCUUGGCUCACUGCAACCUCUGCCUCUCAGGCUCAAGCAAUCCUCCUUCCUCAGCCUCCCCAGUAGCUGCCACCACACCCAGCUAAUAAGGGCUAUUAAUUCUCAUUUUAUAUUUGAAAAUAAUGAGCCAGAGGGAGAUAAAGCAGUUUUCUCAGAGGUACACAUAGUUAAUAUAUGCAGUAGUUCUUGGACCCAUGCCCUCUGCAUUUUAGGAAGGACUUGGUUCCUUAGCAGAGGUAGUUGGGUGGUUUUUCAUCUCAAUGAGGUGGCUGAAGCAGCAAUCUUUUUUUUUUUUUUUUUUUUUUUGAGACGGAGUCUCGCUCUGUCGCCCAGGCUGGAGUGCAGUGACGUGAUCUCAGCUCACUGCAAGCUCAGCCUCCCAGGUUCACACCAUUCUCCUGCUCAGCCUCCUGAGUAGCUGGGACGACAGGUGCCUGCCACUACACCUGGCUGAUUUUUUGUAUUUUUAGUGAAGACGGGGUUUCACCGUGGUAGCCAGAAUGGUCUCAAACUCCUGACCUUGUGAUCCACCUGCCUCGGCCUCCCAAAGUGCUAGGAUUACAGGCGUGAGCCACCACACCCGGCGUUUUUUUUUUUGUUUGUUUGUUUUUUUGAGAUGGAGUCUCACUCUGUCACCAGGCUGGAAGGCAGUGGCAUGAUCUCGGCUCACUGCAACCUCCGCCUCCUGGGUUCAAGUGAUUCUCCUGCCUCAGCCUCCCAAGUAGCUGGGACUACAGGCGUGCACCAUCACGCCUAGCUAAUUUUUGAAUUUUCUGUAGAGAUGCGGUUUCACCAUGUUGGCCAUGAUGGUCUCGAUCUCCUGACCUCAUGAUUCACCUGCCUUGGCCUCCCAAAGUGCUGGGAUUACAGGUGUGAGCCACCGAGCCCAGCCUGUCAGUCUUUAAACAGAUCAUUGGAGGAUUGUUGGUGGAAUUCGGUGGAAUGGAAGGGGAAAGCUAAUGGGAGUGUCACAUUUAGGGCCUUUGGUGGGAGUGACCCACCUGGAACAGUAUUUCAGCAUAGAGCCUCACCUGAUCAUCUUAGCAUUCUGCCUACAGGUGGGCCUCUCCAUAUCCACUUUAAAUUUAGCAGGUGUUUAAUGAGCACCUUCUAUGUGCCAAGCAUUUUGCUAUGCAUUAGGAAAGUUCUUUAACUUUUUCAGAACGUGGACCUUUCUGAGACUCUUGAAACUUUGAACCACUCCCUAGAAAUAUUUAAAUAGUUUGGGAUGUAGUUUUGGGAAGUCAUGAAUUCUCUAAAACUAAACCCUGGGGCUCCUAAUUAAGGACUCUUUGUCUUAAGGGUACCAAGAUGAUGGAGACAGAUCCAGUCCUCAGCUCUCAUAGUGGGGAGACAGUGUAACCAACAUAACAUACUCGGUGAGAGUAUGCUAUUUAGAUGUAGUUUGUAAGGUGAUUUGCAAACACAAAUAUGGGAGUAUUUAAUUCUGCCUAAGCAUAGGAGAGAUGAGGUUGUCAGGAAAACCUCCCAAGAAGAGCUGCAUCUUAUUCAAUUGUCAUAGAAUUCUUUAUUUCAAUUAUUGCAAGUAACCAGGGCAGCAUCAGCCAGGGCUCCAUCUCUGAUGACAACAAUAGUUCUCGUUCAUCGAGCCCAUGUUGUGCUGCGUGCCAGGCAAGGAUUCUUAUAUAUGUUCUUUCAUUUGAUGGUCACAAAACUCCUGGGGAGUGGUAUUGUGAUGUGAUUAUUAAGAGACAAACUUGAGGUUCAGACAGUAUGAGUUCAAGUUCUGGUUCUGCCACUUAACUAGUUUGGCUUUGGACAAGUUAUUUAACUCCUUUCAGUCUUAGUUUUCUCAUCUGUAAUGCAGAAAUAGUUGAUGAUAGUAAUAAUUUAAAAAACAAUAGUGUUAGAAAUUAGGAGGUUACCCUGGUUGGUGGGGUGGGUAGUGACUGAAGGGGGCAUGAGGCAGACUUCUGGGGUCCUGGUGAUGUUUCUUGAUCUAGGUGCUAGUUACAUAGGUAUUUUAGUGUCCGAAAGUUCAGUGAGCUAUAAACUUAUGAUCCAUGUAUUUUUCUGUGUCAUUGUUCUUCAAUAAGAGGUUAAAAUAGCAAGCAUUUCUGGUUCCUUACUGUGCACCCGGCAUUGUUUCUAGUGCUUUACAUUUGUUAUCUUGUUAUCCCUGUGGAUACAAUUCCAGGCAAACUGGUUCCAAGUCCCACGGUAAGGAGAAUAGUAGCUACUUUAGAAGGUCACUGUGACAGUUAAAUGAGGGCACUGUCAGGCACUUAGUAGGCAGUAUGUUUGAUGCACUGUCUUCUUUGUAACAUUAGGUAGUGGGAUGCAGGACUCGGACCUGCCCCUAUGGCCCAUGACUCCAAACCUGUCUUAGGAACUUGUUCUUUGCCACAGGGCUACUUCCCUGGCUGCAUACUGUUUCCUCCCACUGUGGGGAGUAGAGUCUUGCAGUCCAACCUACCUUUCUCCCAGGCAGGACCUCUCUGGGUGGCUGUGCCACGCAGGCUCUGGGGAAGCAAGUUGGGUCCCACACCCUCGAUGCUGGUGUGAGCCUUCACCUCUGCUUGCUGUAUCCACUGCCAAUCAACAGGAUCCCUGUUGAGUAGCAGGGACACGUAUGUGGAUGGCAUUCAGGUGGCUUUGCCUGUUUCUAAUUGGUAUAGAGUUCUAGUAAGUAUGAAGUUGUGGGGCUAUGUGCAACUUUUUAUUUGGAUUUAUAAGGUGACCUACUUUGGUUAUGAAACUUGUCAGAGAAUUUUAGUCCUGAAAAUGUGUACUGGGAAUAAUUAAUUGUCAUGUUUUCUAACUUUAGUGAUUUGUGUACCACCUUUAUGAUUUUUGCCAUAUCAUUGAACCUUCAAUACAUUAUUUAAUAUUCUUAAAUUUAGAUUAUUUGUUUAUUUAUUUAUUUAUUUUGAGAUGGAGUCUCGCUCUUGUCCCCAGGCUGGAGUGCAAUGGCUCGAUCUCGGCUCAUUGCAAGCUCUACCUCCUGGGUUCAGACAGUUCUCCUGCCUCAGCCUCCUGAGUAGCUGGGAUUAUUGGCAUGCACCACUAUGCCCAGCUAAUUUUUGUAUUUUUAGUAGAGACGGGGUUUCACCAUGUUGGCCAGGCUGGUCUUGAACUCCUGAGUUCAAGUGAUCCACCAGCCUUGGCCUCCCAAAGUGCUGGGAUUACAGGCAUGAACCCCUACACCCAGACAGAUUUAUUUUAAAUAUGUAUGUAUGUGUGUGUGUGUGUGUGUGUAUAUAUAUAUAUAUAUAUAUAUAUUUUUUUUUUUUUAAGAGACAGGGUCUUGUACCUGCACAGGCUACGGUGUGGUGGCUUAACCGUAGCUCACUGUAACUUUGAACUCCUGGGCUCAAGGGAUCCUCCUGCCUCAGCCUCCCAAGAAGCUAAGGCUACAGGCUCACGCCACCACACUCAGCUAGGUUUUUUUGUUUUUGCUUUUGUAGAGAUAAAGCCUCACUAUGUUGCCCAGGCUGAUGUCAAACUUUGGGCUCAAACGAUCCUUCUACCCCAGCCUUCCAAGUGCUGGAAUUACAGAUAUGAGCCACCACACCCGGCCUAUUUAAUUUUUUUUUUUUUUUUUUUUUGCCUGUGACAUACCCCCAAGGAGAUCCUGAGAACACAUGCCCCUAAAAUGUUUUUUAAAAGGGAACUAAGUCAGUAUCAUAAGUGGAAAACUUUGUCAUGCAUAGAAGGUAAUUGUAAGAACAAUGGAAGUUUAAAAACAUUCAUCCGUGUACCUCCCAAGGUCACCUUGUGCAUUUUUCUUGGGAAAACACUGGUUUAGUCUGCCUCUGCAUUUUACAGGUGAAGACACCAAGGAGCAAGGCUCUUAAAGGUCUUGCCCAAGGUCACAUGCGGGAAGAACUGGCUGGAAAAUCAGGACUGUUGACUGAUUCCUGGUCCAGUACUCUCCUUCUCUGAGUUUCCACUAACUACUGGUAGUUAAGUGUCUGUGACGUUGAUUUAUUUUUCAUUUAUCACUGUGCUUAAAAUAGCAUGGGUAGUGAGAUAACCCAUUUGCCUCCCCCUGAAAAGGGGAAAAAUAACUUGUGUGGUAGAAAAUUGGUAGCAGAGUCCUCUCAAGGUCACGCUUGCAGAUAAGGAGGAGAGUGGCCUUGGUUUUGUGGACCAUCCUGGCUUUUAUCUCCUGGCCUACAGCAUUAUGAACUGAGGACUGUACCUCACUUCCCUUAAGUAACUACUGUUUAAAAUGAUCGAUUAUGUGAAGAAUUGCUUGGGCUCUGUGCACUGGAAGUCAGGCUUUAUUUAAGUCCUUGGGAACUGAGAUAUGUUUAAGAAAAUAUUAAGUGGAGGGAAGGGAGCAGCCAAGUGGUCAGAGAAUUUUAGUCUUGAAAAUGUGCACUGAGAAUAAUUAAUUGAAAAUAGAAAAUUAAUGUUUUCUAACUUUAAUGAUUUGUGUACCUCCUUUAUGGUUUUUGCCAUAUCAUUGAAUCUUCGACGUACCAUUUACUUGGACUCCAGAGUCAGGAAGACCUGGGUUUGAAUACUGUUUCUGCCACUUUUUAUUUUUGUUUUUGUUUUUUUUUUUUUUUGGUAAACUGAAAGCAAGUUUAUUAAGAAAGGAAUAAAAUAGAGCAGGCUGUUUCUGCCGCUUAUAAGAUGGGUGACUUUGGGCAGGUCACUCCAUGUCUGAGCCCCAGUUUUUAUUGUCUUAAAAUGGAAAUAAUAAGGCCGGGCGCGGUGGCUCACGCCUGUAAUCCCAGCAUUUUGGGAGGCCGAGGUGGGCGGAUCACGAGGUCAGGAGUUUGAGACCAGCCUGGCCAACAUGGUGAAACCCCAUCUCUACUAAAAAUACAAAAAUUAUCCAGGCAUGGUGGCGCAUGCCUGUAACCCCAGCUACUCGGGAGGCUGAGGCAGGAGAAUCUCUUGAAUCCAGGAGGCAGAGGUUGCAGUGAGCCAAGAACCUCCUAGAGAAUCAUGGUGAGGAAUAAAUGAGAUAGCAUAUUUAAAGUGGUUUUAGCAGAGUAGCACGCAUUACAUUUUAAUUCUAUUAGGCAUUUAAAAUCAUUUUUUGGAACAAGGUAGUAUGUGGAAGAAUGAAGGAGUAUAUUGCUUCUUUACAGAAUAAUGUAACAUAGUCUACACCGUAGUAUAAAUGUAAUUUAUACAUUGUAAUGUUGAACUCAUACCCAGCAUUUGUUUAACCAGGUUUCAAAUGCAGUUUCCUCACUUCAGAGCUGUAUCCCAGCUGUUAUUCUGUACUACUUUCUCAUAGUGGAAAUUUCCCAAAUUGUAGGUGAUGAAGUGAGCAUGAAUUAAGAAGAAACCUGAAAGGCUCAGUCACAUUUUGGAAGAACACUUGUUGAUUUAAUCUAAAUUAGGAAUAGGAAGCUGUCGAAACAACUUUUAUCAUGGCGGGUUUGGAGGAAAAAAUGACAUGAAACUACUACAUACGUUAGAAGGCAGGCCAAGGACUCAGGAAUACAGUUUAGCUACUUUAGAAGGAAGAGAAAAGGGCCAGGCGCGGUGGCUUAUGCCUGUAAUCUCAGCACUUUGGGAGGCUGAAGCAGGUGGAUCACCUGAGGUCAGGAGUUCGAGACCAGCCUGCCCAACAUGGUGGAACUCCGUCUCUACUAAAAAUAUAAAAAUGAGCCAGGCAUGGUGGCACAUGCCUGGAAUCCCAGCUACUCAAGAGGCUGAGGCAGGAGAAUUGCUUGAACCCAGGAGACGGAGGUUGCAGUGAGCCAAGAUUGCGCCACCGCACUCCAGCCUGGGCAACAGAGCAAGACUCCAUCUCAAAAAUAAAAUGAGGAAGGUAAAAGAUCUGGAAGCCCAGAGGCAUCAUUUAAAGGGAACCGGGAUAAUUUCAUAUAGAGCUUGUCUUUUUGUUUUGUUUUGUUUUUGAGUCAAGAGUCUCACUCUGAGAUGAGUGUGGCUGUGUUCUAACAAAACUCUAAUUACAAAGGCAAGUGGUUCACCAGUGGUAGAUUGCCAAGCCCUGGCCUAGACUACAGUAAUAUCUCCUAAGGCUGAGUCUGACUUAGACUGUCUUUUCCUUCCUUCCUUCUUCCUAUCUUGUCUCCUAGCAGUCAAGGGGAUCUUGUUUGUUGUUUUCUGUUGUUGUUUUAAAGAGAUGGGGUCUCGCUCCAUCUUCCAGCUGGAGUUCAGUGGCUCGAUCAUAGCUCACUGUAACCUCAAACCCCGGCUCAAGCAGUCCUCCUGCCUCAGCCUCCUGAGUAGCCGGGACUACAGGAAUGCACCACCACGCACAGCUACUUUUUUAUUUUUUGUAGAGAUGGGGGUCUUGCUGUGUUGCCCAGGCUGGUCUAGAACUCCUGGCCUCAAGCAGUCAUCCCGCUUUGACCUCCCAAAGUGCUGGAGUUACCUUUGCUAGCCACCAUGCUUUUGGCUGGGGAUCUUUUAGAAGCAGAAAUCAGCAUGUUACUCUCCUGCUUAAGACUUGCAGUAGCUGCCCAUCAGCCUUCCUAUAAAGUCCAAGCUCCUCACCAUGACCUGAAAGGGUCCAGUGUGAACUACCCACCUUUGGAACAUAUCUAGUUCCUUCCACACUGGCAAGAUUGACUUCUUUUCCAGGCUAAUACCUACCAAGCUUGCUCCUGCCUCAGGGCCUUUGUACAAGUUCCUCUGCCUAGAACAUGCUUUCUCAGAUUUUUAUGUAGCCAGCUCCUCAUGAUCACGUAGGACUCAGAUGUCACUCCUCACAGUGGCCUGCCCAUUCACCCCAUUUAAAGCAGCUUCCUAAGCAUGCUCUGUGUGGCAUUAUCUUCUCUUACUGUGGUAAUGCUUAUCACCUGCUGAAAUGAUCAGUUUAUUGAUUACCUGGUUUACCUUUAACUUCCCCCAGCUGCUGACUCUUAAGUGCCAGGCCUGGUGGUUCUCCUUCACUACAAAAGCUCCAGUGCCUCAAAAAGCCCAUCACACAGUAAUUUCUGUUGGUCCCAAUAGGUGUGAGACUUCUGGGAACAUUUGGACUAGCUCAGAACUACCACUGAAGACUUUGCUCUGGGGCACAGCUGUGCUAGCUGCCCCUGAUAGACCCCUGUUUAUUAACUUUAACUGAGGGACUAACAUCAAGAACAGUUGCUGUAAAUAUUCCUUUGGUUAAAUGAAAGAGUUGCUUUAUUAUGAAGAUCACAUAUAAUUUCCUGCUGAGAACGAAGUAGAUAAGUAAGAAGUUCUGCAUACCAUUUGUUUCUGGGGGGAAAUUUUUAACAGCUAUGUUCUGUCCUUUCACUGAUAAUAAAUAUUAAAAGUUGAAAUAGCUCUUAGAGAUCAUCUCCCUUUCUCUGCUGCAGGAAUCCUUCUGAGAUUGUCUGGACACUUCCAGUAAAGACAAGCUUAUGUUAACAUCUCUAUAGAUCACACAUCAGUUUAUAGACAUUAAAGUUUAUAGGAUGGGUGUAUUCCUAAAGAAUUGUCAGGCUGGGCACCGUGACUCACACCUUUGAGCCAUGGGAUUAGCCAAAGUGGUAAUUCCAGCACUUUGCGAGACUGAGGCAGGAGGAUUGCUUGAGCUCAGGAGUUCGAGACCAGCCUGGGCAACAUAUUGAGUCCUCAUCUCUAUUAAAAAUUAAAAAAAUAGGCCAGGCGCUGUGGCUCACGCUUGUAAUCCCAGCACUUUGGGAGGCCAAGGCAGGCAGAUCACCUGAGGUCAGGAGUUCGAGACCAGCCUGGCCAACGUGGUGAAAUCCUGUCUCUACUAAAAAUACAAAAAUUAGCCGGGCGUGGUGGUGCAUGCCUGUAAUCCCAGCUACUCGGGAGGCUGAGGCAGGAGAAUCGCUUGAACCCAGGAGGCAGAGGUUACAGUGAGCUGAGAUCGUGCCAUUGCACUCCAGCCUGGGCAACAAGAGCAAAACUCCGUAUCAAAAAAAAAUAAUAAAUUUAAAAAAAUUUAGCUGGACAUGGUGGUGUGUACUUGUAGUCUCAGCUGCUUGGGAGGCUGAGGCGGGAGGAUGACUUGAGCUUGGAAAAUUGAGGGUACAGUGAACAAUGAUCACAUCACUGCACUCCAGCCUGGAUGACAGAGUGAGACCCGUUUGUCACAUUUGAGCACAUGAGGCCUUUCAAAUAUUCUUGGGGAAUUUGUUGCAUAAGUGAACCCUGUGAGAAAAGUUAAACUUUUUGAAGAAAGUUCUUCAGUUGUUGGCUUGCUUUUUUUUUUCUUCUUCUUCUUAAGAUGUGAUGUGCCUAUAUAUUUAAGUGGUGACUUAAAAAUACUAAUUUGCGGCCGGGCGCAGUGGCUCACGCCUAUAAUCCCAGCACUUUGAGAGGCCAAGGGGGGCGGAUCACCUGAGGUUGGGCGUUCGAGGCCAGCCUGACCAACAUGGAGAAACCCCGUCUCUAAUGAAAAUACAAAAUUAGCUGGGCAUGGUGGCGCAUGCCUGUAAUCCCAGCUACUUGGGAAGUCGAGACAGGAGAAUCGCUUGAACCCGGGAGGCAAAGGUUGCGGUGAGCCAAGAUCAUGCCGUUGCACUCCAGCCUGGGCAACAAGAGCGAAACUCCGUCUCAAAAAAAAAAAAAGAA